GAGGUCCCUUGAACCUCGGAUGCAGCUCAUUAUUAUAUAUAUAUAUAUAUUUUUUUUGUAUAGCUUGUCGCUUUUUCUUCUUCUUUUUUGUAUUAGGGCGAGGGUUUUCCCUUCUGCUCCUAACAGGAUUGUAGGGGUGUAGAAGAGUUGCUGAGGGGCUUUUUCCUUCAUCCGAUCUCAAAUGACUAUAUCUUCAUUUGUG
rnacentral:lncRNA from 1 species